GGUAUAGAAGUCAGCGUUGUGCGAUUUGCUCUAAAUAUUUUCUAUCCGCCUCAUUUCUUUCCCCAGAUUUGGCUCUUUCCCUCCAGCCUGGCCGCAGCCGUACACUUGCAUCAAAAAGGUGAGGGUCAUUUGGAUCAACGUAGAACAACAGAGACCUGCCAGAGGCCGCUGAGAGACAAAGAAAGGAUUGACGGUGGCUCACACAGCUGGAGAGCCGCCUGGAGGCGGCGGGCGGCCAGCGGCGUGUCGGCCGGUAUGUCGGUUUGGCCGAACGGACCUCGUGUACAGAACAUCUCAACCUGAUCUAUCCGUUCUUUUAAUGACUGACGGUCCCACGCUGGCAGAGAAAGGAUGUUCUAGUGCUGUAAUGAUUCAAGAGGAGGGCGCCGGGGAGGGAGAGGGGUUACAUUCAUUUGAUAUUUCGUUCCAUUAUGUUAGAGGUUCACCCGUUUGGUUAAUGUUGUAGUUUGUGGCUUUGUUGUUCCAGAGUCAGCAUGUUGGCCACACUUUCUUUACAGUGUUUUUUCUGGGUGCCCUACAUUAUGUGAGUUGCCACUAAUCGCAUUAAAAAAUACCUCUUAA